rnacentral:rRNA from 1 species
UACGAAGGGUCCAAGCGUUAUCCGGAUUUAUUGGGCGUAAAGGGUGCGUAGGCGGUUUGGCAAGUCUUGUGUGAAAUCUUUGGGCUCAACCCAAAGUCUGCAUAAGAAACUGCCGGGCUUGAGUAUGGGAGAGGUGAGUGGAAUUUCCGGUGUAGCGGUGAAAUGCGUAGAGAUUUGGAGGAACACCAGUGGCGAAGGCGACUUUCUGGUCUGUAACUGACACUGAGGCGCGAAAGCGUGGGGAGCAAACAGG